rnacentral:rRNA from 1 species
UACGUAGGGGGCAAGCGUUAUCCGGAUUUACUGGGUGUAAAGGGAGCGUAGACGGCUGUGCAAGUCUGAAGUGAAAGGUAUGGGCUCAACCUGUGGACUGCUUUGGAAACUGUGCAGCUAGAGUGUCGGAGAGGUAAGUGGAAUUCCUAGUGUAGCGGUGAAAUGCGUAGAUAUUAGGAGGAACACCAGUGGCGAAGGCGGCUUACUGGACGAUGACUGACGUUGAGGCUCGAAAGCGUGGGGAGCAAACAGG